CCUACGGGUGGCAGCAGUGAGGAAUAUUGGUCAAUGGUCGGGAGACUGAACCAGCCAAGCCGCGUGAGGGAUGAAGGUACAGAGUAUCGUAAACCUCUUUUGUCAGGGAACAAAGGCGGGGACGCGUCCCCGGAUGAGUGUACCUGAAGAAAAAGCAUCGGCAAACCCCGGGCCAGCAGCCGCGGUAAUACGGAGGAUGGGAGCGUUAUCCGGAUUUAUUGGGUUUAAAGGGUGCGCAGGCGGUCUGUUAAGUCAGCGGUAAAAGCCCGGGGUUCAACCCCGGCCCGCCGUUGAAACUGGCAGUCUCGAGUUGGAGAGAAGUAUGCGGAAUGCGCGGUGUAGCGGUGAAAUGCAUAGAUAUCACGCAGAACUCCGAUUGCGAAGGCAGCAUGCCGGCUCCACACUGACGCUGAGGCACGAAAGCGUGGGUAUCGAACAGGAUUAGAUACCCGAGUAGUC
rnacentral:rRNA from 1 species